AGCUGCUUUUUGGGGAGGAGCUCUCCAGUCUGACACCCUGCUGCCAUUUUCCACAGCCUGAGGGCAACCAGGAAGCUCUGGCCACUGGAUCGGACCACGUGCCAGGAUCAAGUUUGGUUCUGGACUCAGUUGGGGACAGAUACCUGUUUCGCCUCUGUUCAGAUUGAUUCGGCUCAUCUCAGCUUGAUUCAGCUCCCACUCAGGGUGAUCCAGGCAGACAAACCCACUCCUCUGUCUACGGCACACAGUUCAUCUCAGCCAAAAGUUGUACAGUUAUGGCUGCUCGUCGCCUGCAGAGGAGGAGCUUUCUCCGUUCUUCCUAAUGCUAACAUCUCUGGCUGAGACCUCCUGACUGUCUGGUUCAAGAUGUUCAGAGAGAGCCUCCCGCGGUCAGAGUGGGUGUUGGCUCCUGGUAGCUUCAUUUCCUCUCUGCUGCCGUGAUUACGGUCGUCUGGAGGAGAGGUUCAGAUGCUGGGGAGGUAGAAUCAGUCAACAAAUCAUCUGCUAACACUAUUCUAAUCAGAAAUCCAAUAGAAACCGAACAAAUAAAAAUAAUCUCAGAAAAUAAUGAUUUUU